UUGACCGUGCAAAGGUAGCGCAAUCACUUGUCUUUUAAAUGAAGACCCGUAUGAAUGGCCAAACGAGGGCUUAACUGUCUCCCUUUUCAAGUCAGUGAAAUUGAUCUAUCCGUGCAGAAGCGGGUAUAAAAAUACAAGACGAGAAGACCCUUUGGAGCUUAAGGUACAAACCCAACCAUGUUAAGCAACUAACCUAAAUAGUAUAAACAUAAAGGACAAUGGAAUUUUACCUUCGGUUGGGGCGACCACGGAGAAAAAAAUAUCCUCCGAGUGGACUGGGACUAAAACCUAAAACCAAGAAAGACACUUCUAAGUCACAGAAAAUCUGACCAAAUAUGAUCCGGCCACAAGACCGAUCAACGAACCAAGUUACCCUAGGGAUAACAGCGCAAUCCUCUCCCAGAGUCCAUAUCGACGAGGGGGUUUACGACCUCGAUGUUGGAUCAGGACAUCCUAAUGGUGCAGUUC
rnacentral:rRNA from 1 species